rnacentral:rRNA from 1 species
UACAGGGGGUGCAAACGUUGCUCGGAAUCAUUGGGCGUAAAGCGCACGUAGGCGGUCUGUUAUGUCGGAUGUGAAAGCCCUUGGCUUAACUGAGGAAGUGCAUCCGAAACUGGCAGGCUAGAGUACUAAAGAGGGUCGCGGAAUUCCCGGUGUAGAGGUGAAAUUCGUAGAUAUCGGGAGGAACACCGGUGGCGAAGGCGGCGAGCUGGGUAGAUACUGACGCUGAGGUGCGAAAGCGUGGGGAGCAAACAGG